rnacentral:rRNA from 1 species
UACGUAGGGGGCGAGCGUUGUCCGGAUUUAUUGGGCGUAAAGAGCGUGUAGGCGGCCAGGUAGGUCUGCUGUGAAAACUCGAGGCUCAACCUCGAGACGUCGGCGGCGAAACCAUCUGGCUAGAGUCCGGAAGAGGAGAGUGGAAUUCCUGGUGUAGCGGUGAAAUGCGCAGAUAUCAGGAAGAACACCCGUGGCGAAGGCGGCUCUCUGGGACGGUACUGACGCUGAGACGCGAAAGCGUGGGGAGCGAACAGG